rnacentral:tRNA from 1 species
AAGGAUUUAAGUUAAACAAACUAAUAACCUUCAAAGUUACAAAUAGAAAAAGAAAUUCUAAGCCUUA